rnacentral:rRNA from 1 species
GACGAACGCUGGCGGCGUGCUUAACACAUGCAAGUCGAACGGAAAGGCCCUGCUUUUGUGGGGUGCUCGAGUGGCGAACGGGGGAGUAACACGUGAGUAACCUGCCCUUGACUUUGGGAUAACUUCAGGAAACUGGGGCUAAUACCGGAUAGGAGCUACUGCUGCAUGGUGGGGGUUGGAAAGUUUCGGCGGUUGGGGAUGGACUCGCGGCUUAUCAGCUUGUUGGUGGGGUAGUGGCUUACCAAGGCUUUGACGGGUAGCCGGCCUGAGAGGGUGACCGGCCACAUUGGGCCUGAGCUACGGCCCAGCCUCCUACGGGAGGCAGCAGUGGGGAAUAUUGCACAAUGGGCGGAAGCCUGAUGCAGCAACGCCGCGUGCGGGAUGACGGCCUUCGGGUUGUAAACCGCUUUCGCCUGUGACGAAGCGUGAGUGACGGUAAUGGGUAAAGAAGCACCGGCUAACUACGUG